AGAACGAACGCUGGCGGCAGGCCUCAAACAUGCAAGUCUAGGGGGUGUAGCAAUACAUCACCGGCGGACGGGUGCGUAACACGUGGGAAUAUACCUUUCGGUACGGAACAACUGCGGGAAACUGCAGCUAAUACCGUAUACGUCCUAGCGGAGAAAGAUUUAUCGCCGAAGGAUUAGCCCGCGUAGGAUUAGCUAGUUGGUGAGGUAAUGGCUCACCAAGGCUCCGAUCCUUAGCUGUUCUGAGAGGAAGAUCAGCCACACUGGGACUGAGACACGGCCCAGACUCCUACGGGAGGCAGCAGUUGGGAAUCUUGGACAAUGGGGGAAACCCUGAUCCAGCCAUGCCGCGUGAGUGAUGAAGGCCUUCGGGUUGUAAAACUCUUUCGACGGGGACGAUAAUGACGGUACCCGUAGAAGAAGCUCCGGCUAACUUCGUGCCAGCAGCCGC
rnacentral:rRNA from 1 species